ACGUUAUAACAUUUUAGUUACCUUUCCGUUGUCACAUCCUGACCCCCGAGACUCGGAGACCGCGCACCGACCCAAACUGACCCACAGCGCGGCCAGCACAGUCACAGUCAGCGGCGGGGACGUCGUUUGGCUCGGCAUGGCGACAACCGGUCAGUCACUCAAGUGUGACCCGAUGUGGCUGAAUGUCAUAGCUUCCCUUUGGUCCUCUAGCUACAGAGAGACCGAGAAACAACUGAACUCCUCAUAACUCCAAAACACGCAUUUCCUUUGGCAAAGCACCAUGGAGCGGUGAGACGUGGGGCUGUCGGCUAAAAAGGUUCACAUCUGAAGGUCCGGUUCCUGAAUCGUACCAAUGUGAGGAGGAUACAUUGUUUCAGUUUUCCAACUGGUCCGGUUUGUGGUCACAAAGGCAAAACUCAGAAAUUGUACACAAAGGCCAUGUGGUGGAAAUGGCGAUCAAUGAUUGGUCAUACAGUCGGCAGUCAUUAGUGUGGACUGGCGACCUGUCCAGGGUGUACACCGCCUUUCG